rnacentral:rRNA from 1 species
GGGGAAUAUUGGACAAUGGGCGCAAGCCUGAUCCAGCCAUGCCGCGUGAGUGAUGAAGGCCCUAGGGUUGUAAAGCUCUUUCACCGGUGAAGAUAAUGACGGUAACCGGAGAAGAAGCCCCGGCUAACUUCGUGCCAGCAGCCGCGGUAAUACGAAGGGGGCUAGCGUUGUUCGGAAUUACUGGGCGUAAAGCGCACGUAGGCGGAUAUUUAAGUCAGGGGUGAAAUCCCGGGGCUCAACCCCGGAACUGCCUUUGAUACUGGGUAUCUGGAGUAUGGAAGAGGUGAGUGGAAUUCCGAGUGUAGAGGUGAAAUUCGUAGAUAUUCGGAGGAACACCAGUGGCGAAGGCGGCUCACUGGUCCAUUACUGACGCUGAGGUGCGAAAGCGUGGGGAGCAAAC